rnacentral:lncRNA from 1 species
AAACCGUGCGCAGGGGGCCCUGGACGGCGCGGCCUGAGAGAGGCUCACGGGCUCCAGUGCAGAGGUGCAGGGGCUACACCGAGUGCAGGGAUAAUGACUCUGGGAGGUUCACGGCCCCCUGAGCCCCGCCCGCCCCCUGCGCCACGCCAUUGGCUCAGGUGCCGAGAGGCGGGGGAGGGGCAGGGGGCGGGCCGGGGAUGAUUCACCUUGAAUGUGGCUCCGGUUGGUGCACAGCGCAGGGCACGCCCGACCAGGACUGCGGAGACGCUGGGAGCCCCGCCAGCUCGCCCAGCUCGGCCGGCUCUGGACCCAAGGGGUCUGGCCGCCCGCCCUCGCUCCUUGCAUCCUGCCUUCAGGCCAAGGUGCAGCUGGCCGAGAUGCGCCCCAACGCCCGGCCACCCCAUCGCCCUCGGAGCCGGGAGAUGGCCGAGGCGUGCGUAGGGUAGCAAGCUUGGAAAUCCGAUCCUGGACUGGGGGAAGGGAAGUGCGUUUGGAGCUGAGACGCACUGAGGGGCCACUGGACGGAUCUCCGCAGUCUCCCCCACAGAAAGGAAGCGGCUUUGACCUGAGUCGAGGCAGCAGAACAAGGACCACAGCCUGUCUCAGGCUUCCUCUCCACCACACCACAGCCACCUGCUCUCCUUCACCCCUGUAGCAGCAAUGACCCGGGGUCAUCUCCAGAGAGGUGGAAACUGCUCAGUGUGACUUCUGGGGGCGUUUUCUCUUCCUGUUUUCCCAUGUCAUGGCCUUUGGACAAGUCUGUUCCCCCUUUAGUUUGCAGUUUCCUCAUCUGUAAAAGAAACCUUGGAGUUGUAUCUGCUUUUCUAAAGGUGAUCUAUAAAUGCUGUGCCUUUACUCCUUUAACCCUGGUUUUUCUUGUACUAGACACAUGGAGGAAGUAUGCUGUAGCCAUAGAAACAGAGGCAGAUGAGCUGGGCUGGGACCAGAAGAACCCUACUGUGCUAGCUAUGAAGCUCCCACUGUGUGCUACAUGGUGUGGGGCAGCAGGAGUCCCAGGCUGUUCGGGAUGUCACGUAGAUUAACACACAGUGGGCUUCCUUGGUGGCUCAGUGGUAAAGAAUCCGCCUGCCAAUGCAAGAGACACGGGUUCAAUCCCUGGUCUGGGAAGAUCCCACAUGCUGAGGGGCAACUAAGCCACAACUACCGAUGCUGUGCUCUACAGCCUGGGAGCCACAACUACUGAGCCCACAUGCCAGAACUGCUGA